rnacentral:rRNA from 1 species
CCUACGGGGAGCAGCAGUGGGGAAUAUUGGACAAUGGGCGAAAGCCUGAUCCAGCCAUGCCGCGUGUGUGAAGAAGGCCUUCGGGUUGUAAAGCACUUUCAGUGGGGAAGAAAGCCUUGGGGCUAAUACCCUCGAGGAAGGACAUCACCCACAGAAGAAGCACCGGCUAACUCCGUGCCAGCAGCCGCGGUAAUACGGAGGGUGCGAGCGUUAAUCGGAAUUACUGGGCGUAAAGCGCGCGUAGGCGGUCUGAUAAGCCGGUUGUGAAAGCCCCGGGCUCAACCUGGGAACGGCAUCCGGAACUGUCAGGCUAGAGUGCAGGAGAGGAAGGUAGAAUUCCCGGUGUAGCGGUGAAAUGCGUAGAGAUCGGGAGGAAUACCAGUGGCGAAGGCGGUCUUCUGGACUGACACUGACGCUGAGGUGCGAAAGCGUGGGUAGCAAACAGGAUUAGAUACCCGAGUAGUC